rnacentral:piRNA from 1 species
UCUAUCAGGGAAUAAACGCUUCCAUGGGAGC